UACGAAGGGGGCUAGCGUUGUUCGGAAUUACUGGGCGUAAAGCGCACGUAGGCGGACUAUUAAGUCAGGGGUGAAAUCCCGGGGCUCAACCCCGGAACUGCCUUUGAUACUGCUAGUCUCGAGUCCGGAAGAGGUGAGUGGAAUUCCGAGUGUAGAGGUGAAAAUUCGUAGAUAUUCGGAGGAACACCAGUGGCGAAGGCGGCUCACUGGUCCGGUACUGACGCUGAGGUGCGAAAGCGUGGGGAGCAAACAGGG
rnacentral:rRNA from 1 species